GGGAAUAUUGGACAAUGGGGGAAACCCUGAUCCAGCAAUGCCGCGUGAGUGAAGAAGGCCUUAGGGUUGUAAAGCUCUUUCGCCCGCGAAGAUAAUGACGGUAGCGGGUGAAGAAGCCCCGGCUAACUCCGUGCCAGCAGCCGCGGUAAUACGGAGGGGGCUAGCGUUGUUCGGAAUUACUGGGCGUAAAGCGUACGUAGGCGGAUGCGCAAGUUGGGGGUGAAAUCCCGGGGCUUAACCUCGGAAUUGCCCUCAAAACUGCACGUCUUGAGACCGAGAGAGGUAAGGAGAAUUCCUAGUGUAGAGGUGAAAUUCGUAGAUAUUGGGAAGAACACCGGUGGCGAAGGCGGCCAUCUGGACGGACACUGACGCUGAGGCGCGAAAGCGUGGGGAGCAAACA
rnacentral:rRNA from 1 species